CCUACGGGAGGCAGCAGUGAGGAAUAUUGGUCAAUGGUCGGGAGACUGAACCAGCCAAGCCGCGUGAGGGAGGAAGGUACAGAGUAUCGUAAACCGCUUUUGUCAGGGAACAAAGGCGGGGACGUGUCCCCGGAUGAGUGUACCUGAAGAAAAAGCAUCGGCUAACUCCGUGCCAGCAGCCGCGGUAAUACGGAGGAUGCGAGCGUUAUCCGGAUUUAUUGGGUUUAAAGGGUGCGCAGGCGGUCUGUUAAGUCAGCGGUAAAAGCCCGGGGCUCAACCCCGGCCCGCAGUUGAAACUGGAAGUCUUGAGUUGGCGAGAAGUAUGCGGAAUGUGCGGUGUAGCGGUGAAAUGCAUAGAUAUCGCGAAGAACCCCGAUUGCGAAGGCAGCAUGCCGGCUCCACACUGACGCUGAGGCACGAAGGCGUGGGUAUCGAACAGGAUUAGAUACCCUUGUAGUC
rnacentral:rRNA from 1 species